rnacentral:rRNA from 1 species
GACGUAGGGAGCGAGCGUUGUCCGGAUUCAUUGGGCGUAAAGAGCGCGCAGGCGGUCGAGUAAGUCGAAUGUGAAAGCCCCCGGCUUAACUGGGGAGGGUCAUUCGAUACUGUUCGACUUGAAGGCAGGAGAGGGCAGCAGAAUUCCCGGUGUAGUGGUGAAAUGCGUAGAUAUCGGGAGGAAUACCAGUGGCGAAGGCGGCUGCCUGGCCUGUUCUUGACGCUGAGGCGCGAAAGCUGGGGGAGCAAACGGG